rnacentral:rRNA from 1 species
GCCUAACACAUGCAAGUCGAACGGGACUUAAUGGAAUGCGACUUCGGUCAAAUGAAAUUAAGUUUAGUGGCGAACGGGUGAGUAACGCGUGAGAAACCUGCCUCUAAGUGGGGGACAACAGUUGGAAACGACUGCUAAUCCCGCAUAAUGUAUUCGGAGGGCAUCCUCUGAAUACCAAAGCUUUAUGUGCUGAGAGAUGGUCUCGCGUCUGAUUAGCUAGAUGGCGGGGGAACGGCCCACCAUGGCGACGAUCAGUAGCCGGUCUGAGAGGAUGAACGGCCACGUUGGGACUGAGAUACGGCCCAGACUCCUACGGGAGGCAGCAGUGGGGAAUAUUGGGCAAUGGGGGAAACCCUGACCCAGCAACGCCGCGUGAAGGAAGAAGGCUUUCGGGUUGUAAACUUCUUUUACCAGGGACGAAGAACGUGACGGUACCUGGAGAAAAAGCAACGGCUAACUACGUGCCAGCCGCCGCGGUAAGAC